UGAAGAAAGAAGUUUUUAGAAGAGCAAAUUCAACUGUUAAAGCAAACGAUAGGCAUGUUACGCUAAAAAGCUCGAGGAACCAGCCAAGGUGUUAGCUAUUUCGUGAGUUCCUCGGGCACUGACAAACGGACAUGCCUACUAAUGAAAAUCAAUGGCGAUGUAAUCGACGGAGUGAACCAUUUACUUUUAUUAGAGUGCUGUUCAGAUAAUGUUUUCAGCUAAAUCAUUGGCUGAGACAUCAAAACCUAUAAGCAAAGAAAUAGUUUAUUGCA
rnacentral:sRNA from 1 species